GUUAUAGGAUCAAGUGACUAAGUGCAUAUGGUGGAUGCCUUGGCGAUCACAGGCGAUGAAGGACGUUGUAGCCUGCGAAAAGCUGCGGGGAGCUGGCAAACAAGCUUUGAUCCGCAGAUAUCCGAAUGGGGAAACCCACCGUCGCAAGACGGUAUCCAUGAGUGAAUACAUAGCUCAUGGAGGCGAACCGGGUGAACUGAAACAUCUCAGUAACUCGAGGAAAAGAAAUCAACCGAGAUUCCGAAAGUAGUGGCGAGCGAAAUCGGAACAGCCUUUACGUUUUAGCGCAUGGGAUAGUCGAACGGAAUGGAAAGUCCGGCCGUAGCAGGUGAUAGCCCUGUAGGCGAAAUCCCGUGUGUGGAACUAAGCGUAAGAAAAGUAGGGCGGGACACGUGAAAUCCUGUUUGAAGAUGGGGGGACCAUCCUCCAAGGCUAAAUACUCGUGAUCGACCGAUAGUGAACCAGUACCGUGAGGGAAAGGCGAAAAGAACCCCGGAAGGGGAGUGAAAUAGAUCCUGAAACCGUAUGCAUACAAACAGUAGGAGCCUCCUUGUGGGGUGACUGCGUACCUUUUGUAUAAUGGGUCAGCGACUUACAUUCAGUGGCGAGCUUAACCGAUUAGGGAAGGCGUAGCGAAAGCGAGUCCGAAUAGGGCGAUUUUAGUCGCUGGGUGUAGACCCGAAACCAGAUGAUCUAUCCAUGGCCAGGUUGAAGGCACGGUAACACGUGCUGGAGGACCGAACCCACUAGUGUUGAAAAACUAGGGGAUGAGCUGUGGAUAGGGGUGAAAGGCUAAACAAAUCUGGAAAUAGCUGGUUCUCUCCGAAAACUAUUUAGGUAGUGCCUCAAGUAUGACUGCGGGGGGUAGAGCACUGUUAUAGCUAGGGGGUCAUGGCGACUUACCAAACUAUGGCAAACUCCGAAUACCCGCAAGUCCAGCUUGGGAGACAGAGCACCGGGUGCUAACGUCCGGACUCAAGAGGGAAACAACCCAGACCGCCAGCUAAGGUCCCCAAUUAUCGCUAAGUGGGAAACGAAGUGGGAAGGCAUAGACAGUCAGGAGGUUGGCUUAGAAGCAGCCACCCUUUAAAGAAAGCGUAAUAGCUCACUGAUCGAGUCGUCCUGCGCGGAAGAUGUAACGGGGCUAAGCGAUAAACCGAAGCUGCGGGUGUGCACUUUGUGCACGCGGUAGGAGAGCGUUCUGUAAGCCUGUGAAGGUGGCUUGUAAAGGCUGCUGGAGGUAUCAGAAGUGCGAAUGCUGACAUGAGUAGCGAUAAAGGGGGUGAAAAGCCCCCUCGCCGUAAGUCCAAGGUUUCCUGCGCAACGUUCAUCGGCGCAGGGUGAGUCGGCCCCUAAGGCGAGGCAGAGAUGCGUAGCUGAUGGGAAACUGGUUAAUAUUCCAGUACCGUCGUACAGUGCGAUGGGGGGACGGAUCGCGGAAGAUCAUCAGGGUGUUGGAAGUCCCUGUUGCUGCAUUAGAGAGGGCGCUUAGGCAAAUCCGGGCGCAUGACUCAAGGGUGUGGCACGAGCGAACAUGUUUCG
rnacentral:rRNA from 1 species